rnacentral:lncRNA from 1 species
GAACGACCACUUGGUGAGGCGAAACUCGGGCGGAGAAGAGGUUGCAGAUGGGUGAAAGCCCAAGUUUGGUUUUGAUAAUUAAUGACACCAAGUUGCUAAUGCCUUGUAUUUAAGUGAUUUGAGUUAGGCAUAGCAACACAUGUGAUGAAGGUGCAUGGUGGCAUGGAAAGGUGGCCACACGAUCACAAAGGGAUGAAGCAUGAAGUGGAGAUCAUGGUGAUAGACGAGGAGCAAAGUUA